UACGUAGGGUGCAAGCGUUAAUCGGAAUUACUGGGCGUAAAGCGUGCGCAGGCGGUUAUGUAAGACAGUUGUGAAAUCCCCGGGCUCAACCUGGGAACUGCAUCUGUGACUGCAUAGCUAGAGUACGGUAGAGGGGGAUGGAAUUCCUGGUGUAGCGGUGGAAUGCGCAGAUAUCAGGAGGAACACCAAUAGCGAAGGCAGCUCGCUGGGACGUUACUGACACUGAGGCGCGAAAGCGUGGGGAGCGAACAGG
rnacentral:rRNA from 1 species